UUUGAUAGGAAUUUUUAUAAAUUCAACUUUACCUGUUAAUUGAAGAGGGGUAAAAAUAUCAAUUCACCUUAUUAACUAAUUAGCAUUAAGCAUUUUGUCUAUGAAAAUUAAUUUUUUCUAACGGUGGAGACAUAGUUGAACUUUGGAGGAAUAUAUUUGUAACUAUCUAUGUUGCAGGAAUCUGUAUGAAAUUAAUCCUUUUAUAUAUUAGUCCACCAAAUCCCAA
rnacentral:lncRNA from 1 species